UCGUAAAAGUUUAGUUUAUCUCAUUCAUCAAUAUUCUAAAUGAUUUCAGAUUGACGAAAGACACUCAAUUUUAUUAGCUGCAGUCGAGACGGUAUUAUUUUCUACCAUACUUUUAGUUGAGGCUCUGUACAUAACUAAUCUGCGAGUUGCUGUAAGUAUUGAAUCAAUCAAUUCAAGUCUCAAAAUCCUUUGCUUUUAAGCUGAAAUCCCUCUUCAAUUCCACAGAAAGUCAAUCCCUCUUCCUCUGACAAAAAUCGAAGAAAGUAGAACUUGAGCCGUAGUUAAAUGCCUAUGCAUUUAUAUUAAUGUGCACAAUGCUUCGAUACAAAAAUUCCUCAUAUGUAACAUAUUAAAUUGGUAUCAUCAGAUAUAGUGGGCUCUGAAGGGUAGUGGUACAUCAAAGAUUUCCCUUUGUUCUUGUUUUGUGUGCAGUGUUCUGAAGUUGGAUUCCUGGCUUACUCGAUAUAUCUGAAAAACCAUAGGGCCGGAAAAGAUCUGCUGCUCGUUGUCUACAGGUCAAAUCGGCAAGAAAAAUUCUCGUGUCUUUUUACGUCCUCGUUUACUCCCAAAACAGUUUUCAAGAUUCUGAAUAUGGUUUGGAAUUUCUUCACGAUUGCCAAAGGGAUGGAGGAAAAACUUGCACGUGCUGGACAUUACUAGGAGCGGAAGCGACCCCGUCAAGCCGAAAGAGAUCUCCAACAACCAAGAAUGGGAGCCGCUACUGGAUCUUACACGAACCCGUUCAACUUUUCCGUUAUUUGAGAUAUCUCCGCGAAAACUUAACAAAACUCAAAACCCUUUGCACUCUGGCUGGCAAACUUAAUUCCUCGCAUACGGGCGAAAUUCGGAGGUGAUUCAUUAAGCAAGCAGUUAAUUAAUAAUCGCUAAUUAAUUGCCGUUUUUUGGUCAAAUUUUCAAAUCACCCGCGUGUUAUCACAUUCGUGCCUCGAAAUGUUGCCUUCAAUCGGCCAUCCGCAUUAAAUAUAAAUGUGCACCCAACAGUUAUGAAUAUCAAUGCAACUCAUUUCAUAGUUUAAACCAGUGCAAAGGUAUCAUUUCUUGAAUUAAAAGCGUCCUUUCGAAUUAUUGAAACUUAGGAUUGUCAAACGAUCCAAGUCGUAUCUCUUGAUCGAGUGAACAGCUGUGAACAGAAUGUAUCAUGAAUCAAGUGAUUCAAGUGAAUUCCGGCUGGUGAAUUCUGAAUCGCGACCCUCUUUUCCACGCUUGCAAGGAAACUGAGAUUAAACAUAGAUUUGCGUUAAUCACUCAUUUUCCGAUUUGUCUUUUUUUCUAGUAACAACUGGUUUCUAAGAAUUUUGAAUUCCUUGCCUUCGUGACU
rnacentral:lncRNA from 1 species